UCUCCGGGGGUAGAGCACUGUUUCGGCUAGGGGGCCAUCCCGGCUUACCAACCCGAUGCAAACUGCGAAUACCGGAGAAUGUUAUCACGGGAGACACACGGCGGGUGCUAACGUCCGUCGUGAAGAGGGAAACAACCCAGACCGCCAGCUAAGGUCCCAAAGUCAUGGUUAAGUGGGAAACGAUGUGGGAAGGCCCAGACAGCCAGGAUGUUGGCUUAGAAGCAGCCAUCAUUUAAAGAAAGCGUAAUAGCUCACUGGUCGAGUCGGCCUGCGCGGAAGAUGUAACGGGGCUAAACCAU
rnacentral:rRNA from 4 species